UACAGAGGUGGCAAGCGUUGUUCGGAAUUACUGGGCGUAAAGGGCGCGUAGGCGGCCUUCUAAGUCAGACGUGAAAUCCCCCGGCUUAACCUGGGAACUGCGUCUGAUACUGGGAGGCUUGAGUAUGGGAGAGGGAUGUAGAAUUCCAGGUGUAGCGGUGAAAUGCGUAGAUAUCUGGAGGAAUACCGGUGGCGAAGGCGGCAUCCUGGACCAUAACUGACGCUGAGGAGCGAAAGUGUGGGGAGCGAACAGG
rnacentral:rRNA from 1 species